rnacentral:lncRNA from 1 species
CUUGAACAUGAAAACCAGCACAGGGAGAUCAUCUGUGUACGUGAGGUUCCUGUAGGCAGUGUCCACAGCUUUGCUGAGACCAGAAUUCUUAACCCAGAUGGAACCUCAUCAUCCACUGUUUGGCUGUGGCAUCUCGUGGGGAGUGUCUAAUCUGUGGGACAGUGCUGUUCUGGUGCCUUUACAAUGAAUUUCAGUCUGUUGUCAAGACAGCCAUUAUUCCAAAUGUCUGCAUUUUCCAACCACUUCUACAGUUUUGUCCAUUUAUGGGCUCUUCUUUUUGACUUGUCAUUGUGGACCGUGCUGGGAGAGCCGUGUCAGAGGAACUGUAUGUGUUUGUAG